UACGGGGGGGGCAAGCGUUGUUCGGAAUUACUGGGCGUAAAGGGCUCGUAGGUGGCCAACUAAGUCAUACGUGAAAUCCCUCGGCUUAACCGGGGAACGGCGUCUGAUACUGGAUGGCUUGAGUUUGGGAGAGGGAUGCGGAAUUCCAGGUGUAGCGGUGAAAUGCGUAGAUAUCUGGAGGAAUACCGGUGGCGAAGGCGGCAUCCUGGACCGACAUUGACGCUGAGGAGCGAAAGCUAGGGGAGCAAACGGG
rnacentral:rRNA from 1 species